rnacentral:rRNA from 1 species
GACGAACGCGGCGGCGUGCCUAAUACAUGCAAGUAGAACGCUGAAGCUUGGUGCUUGCACCGAGCGGAUGAGUUGCGAACGGGUGAGUAACGCGUAGGUAACCUGCCUGGUAGCGGGGGAUAACUAUUGGAAACGAUAGCUAAUACCGCAUAAGAGUAGAUGUUGCAUGACAUUUGCUUAAAAGGUGCAAUUGCAUCACUACCAGAUGGACCUGCGUUGUAUUAGCUAGUUGGUGAGGUAACGGCUCACCAAGGCAACGAUACAUAGCCGACCUGAGAGGGUGAUCGGCCACACUGGGACUGAGACACGGCCCAGACUCCUACGGGAGGCAGCAGUAGGGAAUCUUCGGCAAUGGACGGAAGUCUGACCGAGCAACGCCGCGUGAGUGAAGAAGGUUUUCGGAUCGUAAAGCUCUGUUGUAAGAGAAGAACGAGUGUGAGAGUGGAAAGUUCACACUGUGACGGUAUCUUACCAGAAAGGGACGGCUAACUACGUGCCAGCAGCCGCGGUAAUACGUAGGUCCCGAGCGUUGUCCGGAUUUAUUGGGCGUAAAGCGAGCGCAGGCGGUUAGAUAAGUCUGAAGUUAAAGGCUGUGGCUUAACCAUAGUACGCUUUGGAAACUGUUUAACUUGAGUGCAAGAGGGGAGAGUGGAAUUCCAUGUGUAGCGGUGAAAUGCGUAGAUAUAUGGAGGAACACCGGUGGCGAAAGCGGCUCUCUGGCUUGUAACUGACGCUGAGGCUCGAAAGCGUGGGGAGCAAACAGGAUUAGAUACCCUUGAAUUCCCCUCACUAAAGGGCACAAAAGCGGGUACGAAGUCCUAUCUCAGAGAAUCGACUCGUUUGUAUAU